UACUGAGAAGUACUUUUCCGAGGUGAUGGGAAGAGCCGCUCCCCCUUCCCCCCCCGCGGGGAAGGGGACGGCGCGACCCUGCCUUCCACCCUUGCGUAUCCACCGCGUUGCUUUGGCGGGCCGACCCGGUUUCGACCCGGGCGGCCGGCGCCCCCAGCCCGGAUUCCCGGGCCAGGACGCCCGGGCCAAGCGCCCGCCAGUACACCAAACUCCAGCGAUUAUUUCGUGCAGUCCUGAAACAUUCAUUCAAUGAAACUAAAACUUUCAACAACGGAUCUCUUGGUUCUGGCAUCGAUGAAGAACGCAGCGAAAUGCGAUAAGUAAUGUGAAUUGCAGAAUUCAGUGAAUCAUCGAAUCUUUGAACGCACAUUGCGCUCCCUGGUAUUCCGGGGAGCAUGCCUGUUCGAGCGUCAUUUCAACCCUCAAGCUCUGCUUGGUAUUGGGCGACGUCCGCUGCCGGACGCGCCUGGAAGACCUCGGCGACGGCGUCCCAGCCUCGAGCGUAGUAGCGAAAACAUCUCGCUCUGGAGGAAGGGGGCGGCGGCUUGCCGGACAAUCGACCUUCGGUCACCAUUCAUUUCCAAGGUUGACCUCGGAUCAGGUAGGGAUACCCGCUGAACUUAAGCAUAUCAAUAAGCGGAGGAAAAGAAACCAACAGGGAUUGCCUCAGUAACGGCGAGUGAAGCGGCAACAGCUCAAAUUUGAAAGCUGGCGCCUUCGGCGUCCGCGUUGUAAUUUGUAGAGGAUGCUUCGGCGAGGGCUCCUGCCUAAGUUCCCUGGAAUGGGACGUCACAGAGGGUGAGAAUCCCGUACGUGGCGGGCGGCCUCAGCCAUGUGAAGCUCCUUCGACGAGUCGAGUUGUUUGGGAAUGCAGCUCUAAAUGGGAGGUAAAUUUCUUCUAAAGCUAAAUACCGGCCAGAGACCGAUAGCGCACAAGUAGAGUGAUCGAAAGAUGAAAAGCACUUUGGAAAGAGAGUUAAAAAGUACGUGAAAUUGUUGAAAGGGAAGCGCUUGCGACCAGACUCGCCCGCAGUUGCUCAGCCUGCCUCCUGGCGGGCGUACUCUUCUGCGGUCGGGCCAGCAUCGGUUCGGGCGGCCGGAUAAAGGCGUCGGGAAUGUGGCUCCCUUCGGGGUGCGUUAUAGCCCGGCGCGGAAUGCGGCCAGCCUGGACCGAGGAUCUCGUCCG
rnacentral:rRNA from 1 species